GACGAACGCUGGCGGCGUGCUUAACACAUGCAAGUCGAGCGGUAAGGCCCUUUCGGGGGUACACGAGCGGCGAACGGGUGAGUAACACGUGGGUGACCUGCCCUCAGCUCUGGGAUAAGCCUGGGAAACCGGGUCUAAUACUGGAUAUGACUCCAUGACGCAUGUUGUGGGGUGGAAAGCCUUGUGCGGCUGAGGAUGGGCCCGCGGCCUAUCAGCUUGUUGGUGGGGUGANGGCCUACCAAGGCGACGACGGGUAGCCGGCCUGAGAGGGCGACCGGCCACACUGGGACUGAGACACGGGCCCAGACUCCUACGGGAGGCAGCAGGUGGGGAAUCUUGCGCAAUGGGCGAAAGCCUGACGCAGCGACGCCGCGUGAGGGA
rnacentral:rRNA from 1 species